rnacentral:rRNA from 1 species
AAAUUGAAGAGUUUGAUCAUGGCUCAGAUUGAACGCUGGCGGCAGGCCUAACACAUGCAAGUCGAACGGUAACAGAAAGCAGCUUGCUGCUUUGCUGACGAGUGGCGGACGGGUGAGUAAUGUCUGGGAAACUGCCUGAUGGAGGGGGAUAACUACUGGAAACGGUAGCUAAUACCGCAUAACGUCGCAAGACCAAAGAGGGGGACCUUAGGGCCUCUUGCCAUCGGAUGUGCCCAGAUGGGAUUAGCUAGUAGGUGGGGUAACGGCUCACCUAGGCGACGAUCCCUAGCUGGUCUGAGAGGAUGACCAGCCACACUGGAACUGAGACACGGUCCAGACUCCUACGGGAGGCAGCAGUGGGGAAUAUUGCACAAUGGGCGCAAGCCUGAUGCAGCCAUGCCGCGUGUAUGAAGAAGGCCUUCGGGUUGUAAAGUACUUUCAGCGGGGAGGAAGGGAGUAAAGUUAAUACCUUUGCUCAUUGACGUUACCCGCAGAAGAAGCACCGGCUAACUCCGUGCCAGCAGCCGCGGUAAUACGGAGGGUGCAAGCGUUAAUCGGAAUUACUGGGCGUAAAGCGCACGCAGGCGGUUUGUUAAGUCAGAUGUGAAAUCCCCGGGCUCAACCUGGGAACUGCAUCUGAUACUGGCAAGCUUGAGUCUCGUAGAGGGGGGUAGAAUUCCAGGUGUAGCGGUGAAAUGCGUAGAGAUCUGGAGGAAUACCGGUGGCGAAGGCGGCCCCCUGGACGAAGACUGACGCUCAGGUGCGAAAGCGUGGGGAGCAAACAGGAUUAGAUACCCUGGUAGUCCACGCCGUAAACGAUGUCGACUUGGAGGUUGUGCCCUUGAGGCGUGGCUUCCGGAGCUAACGCGUUAAGUCGACCGCCUGGGGAGUACGGCCGCAAGGUUAAAACUCAAAUGAAUUGACGGGGGCCCGCACAAGCGGUGGAGCAUGUGGUUUAAUUCGAUGCAACGCGAAGAACCUUACCUGGUCUUGACAUCCACGGAAGUUUUCAGAGAUGAGAAUGUGCCUUCGGGAACCGUGAGACAGGUGCUGCAUGGCUGUCGUCAGCUCGUGUUGUGAAAUGUUGGGUUAAGUCCCGCAACGAGCGCAACCCUUAUCCUUUGUUGCCAGCGGUCCGGCCGGGAACUCAAAGGAGACUGCCAGUGAUAAACUGGAGGAAGGUGGGGAUGACGUCAAGUCAUCAUGGCCCUUACGACCAGGGCUACACACGUGCUACAAUGGCGCAUACAAAGAGAAGCGACCUCGCGAGAGCAAGCGGAUCUCAUAAAGUGCGUCGUAGUCCGGAUUGGAGUCUGCAACUCGACUCCAUGAAGUCGGAAUCGCUAGUAAUCGUGGAUCAGAAUGCCACGGUGAAUACGUUCCCGGGCCUUGUACACACCGCCCGUCACACCAUGGGAGUGGGUUGCAAAAGAAGUAGGUAGCUUAACCUUCGGGAGGGCGCUUACCACUUUGUGAUUCAUGACUGGGGUGAAGUCGUAACAAGGUAACCGUAGGGGAACCUGCGGUUGGAUCACCUCCUUACCUUAAAGAAGC